rnacentral:rRNA from 1 species
AUGUGCCGCUUUGAUCUGAUCUCAGAAGCUAAGCAAGGCUGGGUGUGGUUAGUACUUGGAUGGGAGACCGCCUGGUAAAACCAAGAACCAUGUU